rnacentral:rRNA from 1 species
GAGUUUGAUCCUGGCUCAGGACGAACGCUGGCGGCGUGCUUAACACAUGCAAGUCGAACGGAAAGGCCCUUCGGGGUACUCGAGUGGCGAACGGGUGAGUAACACGUGGGUGAUCUGCCCUGCACUUUGGGAUAAGCCUGGGAAACUGGGUCUAAUACCGAAUAUGACCACGCGCUUCAUGGUGUGUGGUGGAAAGCUUUUGCGGUGUGGGAUGGGCCCGCGGCCUGUCAGCUUGUUGGUGGGGUAAUGGCCUACCAAGGCGACGACGGGUAGCCGGCCUGAGAGGGUGACCGGCCACACUGGGACUGAGAUACGGCCCAGACUCCUACGGGAGGCAGCAGUGGGGAAUAUUGCACAAUGGGCGCAAGCCUGAUGCAGCGACGCCGCGUGUGGGAUGACGGCCUUCGGGUUGUAAACCUCUUUCAAUAGGGACGAAGCGCAAGUGACGGUACCUAUAGAAGAAGGACCGGCCAACUACGUGCCAGCAGCCGCGGUAAUACGUAGGGUCCGAGCGUUGUCCGGAAUUACUGGGCGUAAAGAGCUCGUAGGUGGUUUGUCGCGUUGUUUCGUGAAAACUCACAGCUUUUAACUUGGUGGGCC